ensembl:lncRNA
CAGGUGAAGGGCUUCUCUCCAGUGUGAACUCAUGUGUGAACUCUCAUGUGGGCUUCAAACCUUCCUUGUAAAUUGGGGACAAGACAACAUGAGCUAUUACCUUGGGAGGUUCUGCAGCAUCAGCUGCCACCUCUGGAAACAGUUGAGGUGAGACUCUGGACGAACAGUUUAGAUGUGACGAGGCUCUGGACGAACAGCUGAGGCGUGACGAGGCUCUGGCAGAUCAGCUGAGGCGUGACGAGACUCUGGACGAACAGUUUAGAUGUGACGAGGCUCUGGACGAACAGCUGAGGUUUGAUGAGGCUCUGGACGAACAGCUGAGGAGGCUCUGGCAGAUCAGCUGAGGUGUGAUGAGGCUCUGGACGAACAGCUGAGGCGUGACUUUACUCCAGAAGAUCUGCUGUGACUUGACUUGACUGAUUUCACGAGUGGGUUGAGUCACCGGAGUAGCAAUCAAUAAACUUGAAUGCCCUGGUGUUUGCGUGUGAUUAGACCUUGUGGGCACCAUUACUGCGAGGUCCCGUUCCUCUUCCGCGACACCCACCGUAAACAAAAAACCAACAGACAGCAAAGCAAAGUCCAUAAAAUCACUUAAAGACGAACGGGGACCCUCGCGUCUAAGCUGAGAUUGCAAAGGUUGAUUAAUACAUCACAAAAAAACUCAAUCAAAAGACAGUCUGGUAGAUAAGAAUAGUUUGCGAUGGCUAUAAAUUCACAGAUAUAGUUCUACAGUGAUAGCGGGCCUUGCUUAAGGGCUUAUAAUGUUCUAGCAGAGUCCAUACCUAGCCAGUGUCCACUUGAACAGCUGCUGGAUCCUUGUUGGACCGAGUAUUCUGUAAUAUUUGAGCCGAUGAGACAUGGGGCGAGCGGAUCCAAGUGCAAGCUUUUAUUUCCAGACAUGCUCAAAAACACAAGCAGGGUCAAAACAAUGGCAAACAGGUAUGGUAUGGGCGAGACUAGAGAAUAAUCCUAAAACAGGCAUGGUCAAUCUCCAGUGAACAAUAUCCAGAAAGGGUAAUCCAAAGGAUAAAUCCAAAAAUACAAAAGCAAGAAUCAAAAACCAGGUAUACAAUCCAACAACAAACCACAAAGGCAAGACAAGGCAAGAAACGAGACAACAUGGGAUAAACAAUACUCGGCAGUGAAUGCUGGUGUGAGACUGAGUUAUAUACUGACAGGAUAACAAGGUAACAAGGAGGGAGGAGCUAAUCAAUUAUUAUAGAAACUAACAAGAUGGGCAAAGGAACAAGGGAACACAGAAACAAUGGGGAACGAGAACAUUAAAAAAAAAAAAAAAAGCGUCCACAAAACCAAGACAGAGGAACAUAGACUCAGAUCCUGACAUAAUGUCAUAUCAGAGCGUUUUUUUUUUAGUUAGUUGUAAUUCUAGGCUGAAUAUCUCUAGCAGAUUUUAAAAGCCCUUUAAAAUUAAAUAUGACAGUUUGAAUUAAAUAAAAACAGUCAAAUUUUAUCUACUGUAUGGAUUUUACUGUACAAUGACAAUGUUUUCUAACAUGAGUUAGAUCUAGUAACAUCUUA